rnacentral:tRNA from 1 species
CAAAAAGUAGCUUUACCAAAGCACUCAGCUUACGCCUGAGAGAUGCCCACCAAAGGGCCUUUUUGC